rnacentral:rRNA from 1 species
AGAGUUUGAUCCUGGCUCAGAUUGAACGCUGGCGGCAUGCCUUACACAUGCAAGUCGAACGGCAGCACGGGAGCAAUCCUGGUGGCGAGUGGCGAACGGGUGAGUAAUAUAUCGGAACGUGCCCAGUCGUGGGGGAUAACGCAGCGAAAGCUGUGCUAAUACCGCAUACGAUCUAUGGAUGAAAGCGGGGGAUCGCAAGACCUCGCGCGAUUGGAGCGGCCGAUAUCAGAUUAGCUAGUUGGUGGGGUAAAGGCCCACCAAGGCGACGAUCUGUAGCUGGUCUGAGAGGACGACCAGCCACACUGGAACUGAGACACGGUCCAGACUCCUACGGGAGGCAGCAGUGGGGAAUUUUGGACAAUGGGCGCAAGCCUGAUCCAGCAAUGCCGCGUGCAGGAUGAAGGCCUUCGGGUUGUAAACUGCUUUUGUACGGAACGANACGGUCCUUUCUA